rnacentral:tRNA from 1 species
GCCUGAUUAGCUCAGCUGGUUAGAGCGUCGUACUAAUAUCCUCAUACUAAGAUAUCAAGUAAUGCGAAGGUCAACAGUUCAAUCCUGUUAUUGGGCA